rnacentral:rRNA from 1 species
UACGUAGGGUGCAAGCGUUAAUCGGAAUUACUGGGCGUAAAGCGUGCGCAGGCGGUUUUGUAAGCCAGAUGUGAAAUCCCCGGGCUUAACCUGGGAAUGGCAUUUGGGACUGCAAGGCUCGAGUGCGGCAGAGGAGACUGGAAUUCCUGGUGUAGCAGUGAAAUGCGUAGAUAUCAGGAGGAACACCGGUGGCGAAGGCGGGUCUCUGGGCCGUAACUGACGCUGAGGCGCGAAAGCUAGGGGAGCAAACGGG